rnacentral:tRNA from 1 species
UGUCUCCUUAGUGUAAUGGAUAUCACGUAAGAUUCCGGUUCUUGAGAUGGGGGUUCGAUUCCCUCAGGAGACGUCCA